rnacentral:rRNA from 1 species
UACGGGGGGAGCAAGCGUUGCUCGGAAUCACUGGGCGUAAAGCGCACGUAGGCGGCUUUCUAAGUCAGGGGUGAAAUCCUGGAGCUCAACUCCAGAACUGCCUUUGAUACUGGAGAGCUUGAGUCCGGAAGAGGUGAGUGGAACUCCGAGUGUAGAGGUGAAAUUCGUAGAUAUUCGGAAGAACACCAGUGGCGAAGGCGGCUCACUGGUCCGGUACUGACGCUGAUGUGCGAAAGCGUGGGGAGCAAACAGG